UACGAAGGGGGGCUAGCGUUGCUCGGAAUUACUGGGCGUAAAGCGCACGUAGGCGGUCUUUUAAGUCGGGGGUGAAAUCCUGGAGCUCAACUCCAGAACUGCCUUCGAUACUGGAAGACUUGAGUCCGGGAGAGGUGAGUGGAACUGCGAGUGUAGAGGUGAAAUUCGUAGAUAUUCGCAAGAACACCAGUGGCGAAGGCGGCUCACUGGCCCGGUACUGACGCUGAGGU
rnacentral:rRNA from 1 species